GUCCUCGUAGCUUACGCAAAGCAUGCCACU
rnacentral:tRNA from 1 species